AUACGGGAGGCAGCAGUGGGGAAUAUUGCGCAAUGGGCGAAAGCCUGACGCAGCAACGCCGCGUGGGUGAAGAAGGCCUUUGGGUCGUAAAACCCUGUCAGAUGGGAAGAAACCUGCGCAAGCAGCUGACGGUACCAUCAGAGGAAGCACCGGCUAACUCCGUGCCAGCAGCCGCGGUAAUACGGAGGGUGCAAGCGUUGUUCGGAAUUACUGGGCGUAAAGGGCGCGUAGGCGGCCGAUCAAGUCUGAUGUGAAAGCCCGGGGCUCAACCCCGGAAGUGCAUUGGAAACUGGUCGGCUUGAGUUCGGGAGAGGAGGGCAGAAUUCCCGGUGUAGGGGUGAAAUCCGUAGAUAUCGGGAGGAAAACCAGUGGCGAAGGCGGCCCUCUGGAACGUGACUGACGCUGAGGCGCGAAAGCGUGGGGAGCAAACAGGAUUAGAUACCCCGGUAGUC
rnacentral:rRNA from 1 species